rnacentral:rRNA from 1 species
UGGGGAAUAUUGGACAAUGGGCGAAAGCCUGAUCCAGCCAUGCCGCGUGUGUGAAGAAGGUCUUCGGAUUGUAAAGCACUUUAAGUUGGGAGGAAGGGCAGUAAGCGAAUACCUUGCUGUUUUGACGUUACCGACAGAAUAAGCACCGGCUAACUCUGUGCCAGCAGCCGCGGUAAUACAGAGGGUGCAAGCGUUAAUCGGAAUUACUGGGCGUAAAGCGCGCGUAGGUGGUUCGUUAAGUUGAAUGUGAAAGCCCCGGGCUCAACCUGGGAACUGCAUCCAAAACUGGCGAGCUAGAGUAGGGCAGAGGGUGGUGGAAUUUCCUGUGUAGCGGUGAAAUGCGUAGAUAUAGGAAGGAACACCAGUGGAGAAGGCGACCACCUGGGGUCAUACUGACACUGAGGUGCGAAAGCGUGGGGAGCAAACAGG